GCGAGAGAACCGUGUUUCUCUGGAGUCAAGCGUCCGUCUGGAACUUGCACACUCCUCAUUUCGGAACACGAUGGUCCGAUCCGUCAGACACACCAGUAUCAGAAAAACAAAACAUUCAGGAACCGAGCCCUGAGAUGUAAGCUCAGUGUUUUUCCACGUCUGGUUUUCCACUUUGCUGGAAGCCACGUGCCGGGACGAAAAAGGGAGAGGUGGAAAGUGCAGACUCCGGGCAAAGCAAUUAACCUCGGGUGGAGGAGGUGACAGAAGCACGUGUGACACCUGAUCGGCUGUUGGAGAUGUGACCAGAGGCCCCAGGAACCUGACCCACCGUGUUCUCAGGAGCCGUGCUGCCACCCACCAAUUCAGCGUCCACAGUGACCUCACGAACAGAGCUGCCACCGGCAACAUGAAUCCACCAUGCUGAUUUCAGGAUGAGAUGCUUAAGUGAGAAGGAAGAACUGCCUGGAAGAUUCUGGAAGGUUCUGGAAGAUUCUGGAAGGUUCUAGAAGAUGGCCAGCCAGCAUCUGCUCGGAGGCUUUGAAAGGUCUCACAAAUGCCGAGAAACCCGCCCAGCGCAGGAAGCUGUCCCGGGCAGUGAAACGAACGGGGAGGGCUUCUUUCUGACCGUGACCAGCCCUUCUGGGGAGCCACUGGGCAAUCCCCUCCCUGGGCGCCUCUCUCACAGGGUUCCCGUGCCAUUUCUCAGAAUGAAACUGGGCUGGCGGCUACCAUUCAUGCCCUCUGCCCUCUCGGGGCCUUGCAAUAAAAUCUAGCAGAUUCUGUGGGUUCCCAUCAAAGCCUGACCGUGAGGCACCAUAAAACCCCAGAGCAGCCGUCCCCUGUCCUACGCCGGAAAGCAGGUCCCACGCUGUCACUGCUGCCAUGGCUCAUUCCUUUUUUUUUCCUUUUUA